GAAGAAGGUCUUCGGAUUGUAAAGCUCUUUCGACGGGACGAUGAUGACGGUACCCGUACGAAGAAGCCCCGGCUAACUUCGUGC
rnacentral:rRNA from 1 species